CUGUAGUUAGUCUCAGCUACUCAUGAGCCUGAGGCAGAAGAAGUGCUUGAACCCAGGAGGCGGGGGUUGCAGUGAGCUGAGAUUGUGCCAUUUGCACUCCAGCCUGAGCAACAGAGCGAGACUCUGUCUCAAAAUAAAUAAAUAAAUAAAGAUAAUUAAAAUGGAAUCACCACGCCCCACCAAAAAAAGUUCUUCAUUUACAGAAAAGAUCAUGAAGCAGUGGAAGGGAAUAUAAAGCAGACCAAAAUUCCCCAGAGGCCCGUCUCCUAUCUCGCCUAAGAAGCAAAAACCUUAGAGCAAUUUGCAGGGACACCCUGGAGUGGAAGCAACAGGGGCUGGGUAAGGAGGUAAGGAACACAUAAAGCUUUAGCCAUAGGGGAGGAAUGGGAAUAAAUACUAGGCAUUGACUGGAAAAGAAAGACUUAUGACAGCCACACCCACAAGACCCAGAUUCACAGUGCCUACUUAAGACUGAGUUUAAAUUAGAACAUUAGAGAACAUGCCUCUUUUUCGCCCCAACCACAGACUAAACAUCAAAUAAAAUUAAAGUAAUGCACAGGGGAAAGCUGAAAACCACAGGCCUUCUCUAGAGAAGAGUGAAAAGGUGAAAACCCACGCCAAACAAGGACACAAAAACAAGGUAUCAUUAUAGGGUUUGAAGUUUCUGAUACACAGAGAGUAACCAUGGUAACAACAAAACUUCAAUCCCAGACCAACUCCUGACUAAUUUCACAAAAACCUCCACGCUAAUAGCCUAGAUGAAGGAAAGGUGUGCUUAUCGCAAAGAAAAUACAUAUAUAUACCUCAGUAUCUACUACUUUAUAUGUUUGACUCUCAACAUUAUAAUGUAUACAAAAACAAAGAAAAAAAUACCAUCUGAAAAGAAUGCAAUCUUGAAAACCAG
rnacentral:lncRNA from 10 species